rnacentral:rRNA from 1 species
UGGGGAAUAUUGCACAAUGGGCGCAAGCCUGAUGCAGCCAUGCCGCGUGUAUGAAGAAGGCCUUCGGGUUGUAAAGUACUUUCAGCGAGGAGGAAGGCGUUGUAGUUAAUAGCUGCAACGAUUGACGUUACUCGCAGAAGAAGCACCGGCUAACUCCGUGCCAGCAGCCGCGGUAAUACGGAGGGUGCAAGCGUUAAUCGGAAUUACUGGGCGUAAAGCGCACGCAGGCGGUCUGCCAAGUCGGAUGUGAAAUCCCCGGGCUCAACCUGGGAACUGCAUUCGAAACUGGCAGGCUAGAGUCUUGUAGAGGGGGGUAGAAUUCCAGGUGUAGCGGUGAAAUGCGUAGAGAUCUGGAGGAAUACCGGUGGCGAAGGCGGCCCCCUGGACAAAGACCGACGCUCAGGUGCGAAAGCGUGGGGAGCAAACAGGAUUA